rnacentral:rRNA from 1 species
AGCAGUAGCCGCGGUAAUACAGAGGGUGCGAGCGUUAAUCGGAUUUACUGGGCGUAAAGCGUGCGUAGGCGGCUUUUUAAGUCGGAUGUGAAAUCCCUGAGCUUAACUUAGGAAUUGCAUUCGAUACUGGGAAGCUAGAGUAUGGGAGAGGAUGGUAGAAUUCCAGGUGUAGCGGUGAAAUGCGUAGAGAUCUGGAGGAAUACCGAUGGCGAAGGCAGCCAUCUGGCCUAAUACUGACGCUGAGGUACGAAAGCAUGGGGAGCAAACAGGAUUAGAUACCCCGUAGUCCCUGUCUCUUAUACA